rnacentral:rRNA from 1 species
AAGAAUAUGAACUAAUGCUGUUUGGGGAAUGGUUCGGCUCAAGACGCCGAUGAAGGGCGUGACAAGCUGCGAUAAGCCUGGGCUAGGCGCAUGUGGCCUUUGAACCCAGGAUGCCCGAAUGGGACUUCCCGUUCUAUUCCGAAAGGAAAGGGAACCCCCUGAAUUGAAACAUCUUAGUAGGGGGAGGAAAAGAAAGCAAAUGCGAUGUCCUUAGUAAAGGCGAUCGAAAAGGACAGAGAGCAAACUGAACUUGUGAUACUCUAGUAUCAUAAGGAUGUGGUGUAUGGGCUCUGCUUACGAUUACUUCAUAUGAAGCUGAAUUUAUCUGAAAUGAUAUACCGCAGAGGGUGAAAGUCCUGUAAGCGUAAGUAUGAAGAAUUUGUAGAGUACCUGAGUACUGUGGGUCGGAUAUCCUUCAGGAAAAAGGGAGGCAUCAACUCCUAACUCUAAAUACGUAUUGAGACCGAUAGUGAAUUAGUACCGUGAGGGAAAACUGAAAAGUACCCCGAGAGGGGGGUUAAAAGAACUUGAAACCAAACAGUGAAAGAUAUGCAUGGCUCAAAAGGAGCGAUUCUUCUCAAAGGAAUAUGGAGUAAUCCAUUAGUACGAGAGAAGAGGACUAGGGUCAUGCUGUACGUCUUGAAGCACGAGGCAGGGAGUUUCUGGUAGUGGUGAGAUUAAGAAUUUAAUUUCGUAAUCAAAGAGAAAUCAACAGUCCGCAAGAGUUUACUCUGAGGGACGGGGUGUGAAAGUGCCCGGAAUCACUACCAAAAGACCCGAAACCAGUCGAUCUAUUCCAGGGCAGGGUGAAGCCGAUCAAUUGAUUGGUGGAGGCCCGAAGAGGUUCUGACGUACAACUCGUUCUUCUGAUCUUGGAAUAGGAGUGAAAGGCUAAUCAAGGCUGGAGACAGCUGGUUCCUCCCUAAAUAGGCCGCAGUCUAGCCUGAAGGGAGAUAGCAGACAAGGUAGAGCACUGAUUGAAUGUUUAGGGGGAGAAAUCUCUCGGCAUACUGUCAAACUCCGAACUUGUUUGCGUCGUAGAUCUUCGGAGUCGGGGGCGUUGGGGUAAGCUCAUGUCCCCUUAGGGAAAAAACCCAGACUAGAGUUAAAGUCCACAAAUUCUGGAUAAGUUAAAGGACGUCAUCAGUCUAAAACAGCGGGAAGGUAGGCUUAGAAGCAGCCACCCUUUAAAGAUAGCGUAACAGCUCACCCGUCUAGAUUGAUGGCUCCGAUAAUGGAAUGGACUAAGCCAGAUACUGAUACUCUAGGACUCGAAAGAGAUUCGCUAGGGAGGCGUUGUGAUAGGGCAGAAGCUGGGGCGUGAGUUCCAGUGGACCUGUCAGAAUUGUAGAUCCUGCCGGGAGUAACAGCAAAGUGGGGUUAGAAUCCCCAUCGCCGAAAGGGCCAGGAUUCCUCAGCAAUGUUCGUCAACUGAGGGUUAGUCGAUCCUAAGACUCUUCGUAACUCGUUAGAGUCGAAAGGGAAACCCGUUAAUAUUCGGGUACCGUAAAGAUACACGCGGCAACGCAAGUUCUUUCCUUGACACUUCGGAGUACGCUGAAUGGAACCAUCGUUCCAUCUAACUAUAUAAUUCCAUGGAGAUGCUUAAUGCAGAGAAGUGGAAGAAAUUAGGAAUGGCCUGACGUUUUAGUCGGGUUCGGCCGAUCUCUGGAGUCCGUGAAAAGAGGAUAGAAAUGAAUUCUUUAUGUUCGUACUGAGAUCCGACACAGGUGCCCCUUGGUGAGAAGCCUAAGGCGUGUUGGGAUACUCCAGUUAAGGGAAUUCGGCAAAAUAGCUCCGUAACUUUGGGAUAAGGAGUGCGUACUGUCUUUAAUCGGACGGUACGUCUCAGUAACUUGAGGGCUUCGACUGUUUAAUAAAAACACAGCUAGCUGCUAUCCUGUAAAGGUUUGUACAGCUGGUGACAUCUGCCCAGUGCCGGCACGUUAACCCCGGUUCCAACCGGGCGAAGCGCCGGUAAACGGCGGGAGUAACUAUAACUCUCUUAAGGUAGCGUAAUACCUUGCCGCUUAAUUGGCGGCUUGCAUGAAUGGUGUAACGAGAGCCCUACUGUCCCUAACUGGAACCUAGUGAAACCACUUCCUGGUGAAUAUGCCAGGGUCCCCCGAUGGGAAGCGAAGACCCCAUGGAGUUUUACUGCAGCCUGUCGUUGUUACUUGGACUUUGACGUAGAGCGUAGUUGGUAGCCAUCGAAGCAAUCUCGCCAGGGAUUGUGGAGGCACUAAUGGAACACCAACCUUCAAAGUCUAAGCAACUAACCAACACCGUUAUUGUUGGGACACCGGUAGGUGGGCAGUUUGGCUGGGGCGGUACGCCCUCGAGAAGGUAUCGAGGGCGCCCUAAGGUUGACUCAGGUGGGUCAGGAAUCCACCGUAGAGGGCAAGGCCAAAAGUCAGCCUGACUGGAUAUUACACCACAAGAUAUCCAGAGGCGAAAGCCGGGCCUAGCGAACUCCAAUGCCUCCUUGAUGGGGGCUUGGACUAACAGAAAAACUACCCUGGGGAUAACUGAGUCGUCCGGGGCAAGAGCCCACAUCGACCCCCGGGCUUGCUACCUCGCUGUCGGUUCUUUCCAUCCUGGGUCUGCAGCAGGACCCAAGGGUGGGGUUGUUCGCCCAUUAAAGGAGAACGUGAGCUGGGUUUAGACCGUCGUGAGACAGGUUAGUUGCUAUCUAUCGGGGGUGUUGGUCGUCUGAAGGGAAGGUAGUCCCAGUACGAGAGGAACAGACUGCCGUGGCCUCUGGUGUACCAGUUGUCUGAUAAGGCAUCGCUGGGUAGCUACGCCAUAGUUAAUAAGGGCUGAAAGCAUCUAAGCCCGAAAUAAUCCCUGAAAAUAGACAACCACUCUCUAAUAGAAUAAGGGGAUAGGUGACUAUAACUUUAGUUAGAGACGAAGACACGGAUAGAAGAUCCGGUUGAUAGGUCGGUAGUGUAAGUACCAAGCCUUCGGGCGAGGUAUUCAGCUUACCGAUACUAAUAGUCUAAGGUUCAUAAUUCC